UCUGGAAAACUAAAAUGGAAUAGGAAUCAAAUUUAGAUCGGACUCUUUCGAGUUUACGAAAAAGUUUACGUCGUGUGAUGCACCGACGGACUAUCAUAGACCAAGAAAACCCAGCCAAUAAACCAGAGAAUUCCGAUUACGCCAGGGACAUAAAAUGCCAACGGCCAGCCGUUAUCGAAUUCGAGAUUACACAGGAACCCAGACAAUGGCAUGAUGAUCACCGUCCCGAAUUGAGUACCUUAAACGAAAACAAUUGAGACAUUAGACACAUUGCGGAGCGAGGGAGUGUCACACGCAAGAUGAGAACCUGCCAAGACAAAGGCGCCUAUAGUCGUCCGUUCAAAUGUAGGGACCCAUUUUGAAAUCAUACUAUUAGCCGAUGGAAACGUCACUCCCUGAAAUGAAUUAAUCAACCAAUCAGUCAACCCGGAUUUAAAAUUUCUUGUGAAAUGAUAAAGAGCCGCCAUGUCGUGCAGCCAAUGGAGUCAGCAUGGAAAAGAAAUCGGUGAGAAGGAUGCCAAUGCCCAACACGUAUUUGCCUCCGUACUUCCGGCUAAAAUGCCACCUGGGAUCUGCGUCACCAUGUAACCCCAGAAGAACGCACCCAAAAUCAGGCCUUGUGUUUCACCGUCCCAAUCAAACUCGCCGUUGUUCUACAUAGGAAAAUACCUACUUCACUGUCACCGGAUUCAUCAUUUUCGCACUGUUCGCUGCCAUUUCCGCUGGAGCCUCCGCUACCGCUCCUGCCGAAGAACGUCGUAGUGUUUGGAGUUCUAACCAUGUCAACGAUAGCCACUGACAAAUUGAUUCGCAUCAUGUAAACAGCAGCCAAGCCGAGAAAUCCCAUCAAAGCGAAAACAUGCCGCGAUCCGAAGAAACCUGUGCAAAUAUCAAGAAAUGUUUUUAAAUAUUGCGCACAUAGAUUUCCAUUUAUCCUUCAAAAAGGAUGGAGAUGGAAACGUCAUUGCGUUUACAAACCGUCUGGACGUUCGGCUCCUUCAUUGUCUCCACGUUCAUUUCCAUGAGGAUGUUGCUCGCUGAUGUUGGUCUGUCGAUAAUUACACCAGUCCGACACAAAGGUUAGUGAAGGUUAGUAACAUAAUUGUGAAACGGGUUUUUGUUUUUUUUACCUCUGAAUCACUACCUACUUUCUGAUCGUUGUUUAUGGCUCUUAUCUGUCGAUUGUUUGGUGUCUACGGCGAUGAUGGAGAUUGUGUGCGACAGAGGCGGUUGGCUGCCUUUCUCAUCUCCGUCAGCAUUGCUUGACGUGUCACUCAUGUCUAUAUAUUGUUUUGGCUGGUCAGUCGGCGUAGAUAAACAAUCGUAAUACUAUCAGGCUUAAAGGCAUUUAGAUCUAGAUAAAGGUUGUUACAGAACAUGCUUUCUACGCCACACCAUUUUGAUUGACACAUUGCAAAAAAGGAAAAAAAAAUAAAAUGAAAUAAAUCGA